rnacentral:tRNA from 1 species
GAGGGUAUAGCUCAGUGGUAGAGUGCAUGCUUAGCAGACACGAGGCCCUGCGUUCAAUCCCCAGUACCUCCA